UACGUAGGGGGCAAGCGUUGUCCGGAUUUAUUGGGCGUAAAGAGCGUGUAGGCGGCCACACAGGUCUGCUGUGAAAACUCGAGGCUCAACCUCGAGCUGUCGGUGGAAACCGUGUGGCUAGAGUCCGGAAGAGGAGAGUGGAAUUCCCGGUGUAGCGGUGAAAUGCGCAGAUAUCGGGAAGAACACCCCGUGGCGAAGGCGGCUCUCUGGGACGGUACUGACGCUGAGACGCGAAAGCGUGGGGAGCGAACAGG
rnacentral:rRNA from 1 species